rnacentral:rRNA from 1 species
GUCGAGCGAACGGACGAGAAGCUUGCUUCUCUGAUGUUAGCGGCGGACGGGUGAGUAACACGUGGAUAACCUACCUAUAAGACUGGGAUAACUUCGGGAAACCGGAGCUAAUACCGGAUAAUAUUUUGAACCGCAUGGUUCAAAAGUGAAAGACGGUCUUGCUGUCACUUAUAGAUGGAUCCGCGCUGCAUUAGUUAGUUGGUAAGGUAACGGCUUACCAAGGCAACGAUGCAUAGCCGACCUGAGAGGGUGAUCGGCCACACUGGAACUGAGACACGGUCCAGACUCCUACGGGAGGCAGCAGUAGGGAAUCUUCCGCAAUGGGCGAAAGCCUGACGGAGCAACGCCGCGUGAGUGAUGAAGGUCUUCGGAUCGUAAAACUCUGUUAUUAGGGAAGAACAUAUGUGUAAGUAACUGUGCACAUCUUGACGGUACCUAAUCAGAAAGCCACGGCUAACUACGUGCCAGCAGCCGCGGUAAUACGUAGGUGGCAAGCGUUAUCCGGAAUUAUUGGGCGUAAAGCGCGCGUAGGCGGUUUUUUAAGUCUGAUGUGAAAGCCCACGGCUCAACCGUGGAGGGUCAUUGGAAACUGGAAAACUUGAGUGCAGAAGAGGAAAGUGGAAUUCCAUGUGUAGCGGUGAAAUGCGCAGAGAUAUGGAGGAACACCAGUGGCGAAGGCGACUUUCUGGUCUGUAACUGACGCUGAUGUGCGAAAGC